rnacentral:rRNA from 1 species
CAAGUCGAGCGAUGAAACUACUUCGGUAGUGAAUUAGCGGCGAACGGGUGAGGAACACGUGAGGAAUCUGCCUUCAACACUGGGAUAACUCCGGGAAACCGGGGCUAAUACCGGAUACGAGCUCUGAUCGCAUGAUCGGGGCUGGAAAGUUUUUCGGUUGAAGAUGACCUCGCGGCCUAUCAGCUUGUUGGUGAGGUAAUGGCUCACCAAGGCGACGACGGGUAGCCGGCCUGAGAGGGCGACCGGCCACACUGGGACUGAGACACGGCCCAGACUCCUACGGGAGGCAGCAGUGGGGAAUAUUGGGCAAUGGAGGAAACUCUGACCCAGCGACGCCGCGUGCGGGAUGAAGGCCUUCGGGUUGUAAACCGCUUUCAGUAGGGAAGAAGCGAAAGUGACGGUACCUACAGGAGAAGCACCGGCUAACUAUGUGCCAGCAGCCGCGGUAAUACAUAGGGUGCAAGCGUUGUCCGGAAUUAUUGGGCGUAAAGAGCUCGUAGGUGGUUUGAUACGUCGGGUGUGAAAUUCAGGGGCUCAACCCCUGACCUGCAUUCGAUACGGUCAAGCUGGAGUUUGGUAGGGGAGACUGGAAUUCCUGGUGUAGCGGUGGAAUGCGCAGAUAUCAGGAGGAACACCGAUGGCGAAGGCAGGUCUCUGGGCCAAUACUGACACUGAGGAGCGAAAGCGUGGGGAGCGAACAGGAUUAGAUACCCUGGUAGUCCACGCCGUAAACGAUGGGCGCUAGUUGUGCGAACCUUCCACGGUUUGUGCGACGCAGCUAACGCAUUAAGCGCCCCGCCUGGGGAGUACGAUCGCAAGAUUAAAACUCAAAGGAAUUGACGG